CAGCGACGGGUACGGGGUGUGAGAGCACUUGCCCGGAGAUGGUUUCUGAGACGAGAAACCAGGCCCUACGGGGCGCAGCAGGCGCGAAAACUUCGCAAUGCGGGAAACCGUGACGAGGGAACUCCAAGUGUCUAUGCAAUGCAUAGACUGUUUUUCAGCUUAAAUCGCUGUUAGAGUAAGGGGUGGGUAAGACCGGUGCCAGCCGCCGCGGUAACACCGGCACCCCGAGUGGUAGCCACUAUUAUUGGGCCUAAAGCGUUCGUAGCCGGUUUGGUAAAUUCUUGGGUAAAUCGUACCGCUUAACGGUGCGGAUUCCGGGGACACUACCAGACUUGAGACUGGGGGAGAUCAGAGGUACUUGCGGGGGAGCGGUGAAAUGUUGUAAUCCCGCAGGGACCACCAGUGGCGAAGGCGUCUGUUCAGAACGG
rnacentral:rRNA from 1 species